GAUGAAGAACGUAGCGAAAUGCGAUAAGUAAUGUGAAUUGCAGAAUUCAGUGAAUCAUCGAAUCUUUGAACGCACAUUGCGCCCGCCAGUAUUCUGGCGGGCAUGCCUGUCCGAGCGUCAUUUCAACCCUCGAACCCCUCCGGGGGGUCGGCGUUGGGGAUCGGCCCUGCCUCCUGGCGGUGGCCGUCUCCGAAAUACAGUGGCGGUCUCGCCGCAGCCUCUCCUGCGCAGUAGUUUGCACACUCGCAUCGGGAGCGCGGCGCGUCCACAGCCGUUAAACACCCAACUUCUGAAAUGUUGACCUCGGAUCAGGUAGGAAUACCCGCUGAACUUAAGCAUAUCAAUAAGCGGAGGA
rnacentral:misc_RNA from 1 species